GUACUAUUAUCAAAUAGCGGGCCGCGAGGAUUUCUUAAAGUGUUUAAAUGGUAUCGAUCGAGAGAUGAAAGACCGAUACCGCAAUAGGAAAACACUAAGACACAAACACUUUGAGAAAUACUACAAUGGACCGGAGGAUUGGGAUAAGGUUCUAAACAACCCAACCAAUGAUGUUAACAAGGAGGAGUGGAAGUAGAUUUGUCAGUUAUUUACAAGUCCACAAUUUAUUGCGCGCUCCAUAAAGAAUAAGGAAAAUCGGAAGAAACAAAAGUAUUCUACAACACAGGGUACAAAAUCGCUGGCAGCCGUCCGUUUUGAAAAAACGAACCCGGACCUCAUUGAGUCAUGGAAGGAUUAUCAUUGGAAGAAAUCAAAAUAUGAUUUCGUGAACGAUGAUGCUCGCCAAGAUUAUUUGAUCAGGAGGAGGUGCUACAAAAAGUAUUAGGCCAAAGGCGUGGACAUGAGCGAGGAGUGGGCCGCAAAUUGAAGGGGUCGGGGUCGAGGUCGGGGUCGAGGUCAUCAUCUACCCAACACUCUCACUUCAGCAAGUCUCAAGUUCCUCCUCAUCAUUCAAGAGAAUAUAUAGAAAAUCUGGAGAAUAAUUUACAGAAAUUGACUGAUCAAGUUAAUUUCUUAACUCAAUAUUUUGUACCUUCAUUUCGUCCACCAAACGUUCAGAUGCCGCAUGUGCCUGAUAGUGACAAUACUUCUAGGGCUUCGUCUUCUCAACCUCCAGCUCCAACUCAUCCUUCUAUGUACGGGGCAACGCCGUCUUAUCAUAUGGUACCUCCAUAUAUGUACGGAGCAACACCUUAUCCGUGUCCGAUUCCACCGUCCUCCCAGCCAUCGUAUCCCUACAUGUAUAGAGCUGGAUCGUCCACAUUACCUCCCCAAUAUCCUUGGCCGAUGCCGCCACCGCAGCAAUCACAACCACAGCCACCGCAACAACCACAACAAGAAGACAAUAGGGAGGAGGACGAGGCAACUUACUUAGGAGACUAAGUUUAUAUUUUUAUUAAUUAUUGUUAAAUUUUAUGAAUAAUAUGAAUAUUUGUUAUGUUAAUGUAUUAUGAAUAUUUACAAUUGUUAUUUUAAUAUACUAAUUUGAAUAUUUAAUAUAAUAUUUUUCUUUUUAAUA